GCCAGCAGCCGCGGUAAUACGGAGGGGGCUAGCGUUAUCCGGAUUUACUGGGCGUAAAGGGUGCGUAGGCGGUCUUUCAAGUCAGGAGUGAAAGGCUACGGCUCAACCGUAGUAAGCUCUUGAAACUGGGAGACUUGAGUGCAGGAGAGGAGAGUGGAAUUCCUAGUGUAGCGGUGAAAUGCGUAGAUAUUAGGAGGAACACCAGUUGCGAAGGCGGCUCUCUGGACUGU
rnacentral:rRNA from 1 species